rnacentral:rRNA from 1 species
AUGGGCCUCAACAUAAUAGUAUUUGACACCGUAGCCGAGACAUUCCGGCAGAUGAGCCACCCAACACAGUUGGGUGAUAUGGUGUCAUUGUUGGAUAUGGGCGACGCCCUUGCUUUGUGCCACACCGCCCCUGACUGCGCCGCAUUAGAUGUUUGGGUGUUGCAGGACUAUGAUGCCGGGACCUGGGGUUUUCGCUUCCAGAUUGACCUGUUAGGGAUGGAGGCAUCACCACCGAUUAAUUGGAUGUUCCAAUUUAUCCCUAGGAUGGCUCUGAUCAAUGAGCGUGAGCUGUUGAUCCAGCGGCAUAUUUACAGUCUGUUGCAUUGUGACAUUGAUGGUGUCUUUUUAGGUAAUGUGGAAAGCGAGGAGCGUUUAGCCUGCUGGACACUUACUCGGCAUUGCCUCCAAGAGAGCCUGAUUUCACUUCCAUUGUUUGAGAUGCAAGAAGAAGAAGCUGUGAACCAGGAGCCUCCAUUAUUCUCCAUUGUGUUAUAA